rnacentral:rRNA from 1 species
ACCAAACCGAGCAGUUGAUUUAUUUAAACCUGGGCAGUAACUAACUAAGAGUAGAGAAAGGAGGACCCCCGAUCCAACGGAGGCACCCGUAACUCGCGCAAUUGAGAGCAUAGCUCCUGUGCUGUCCUGGAACUUCUGCAAUGCACGUUGGCGAUUGUUCAAGGAGGAAAUGGUGAGUAGAACAGCCGAACUUCCGGAAAACUUUUCAGAGUCGCCGUUGGACCAGCUAGUUUCGACCCUGCGCAGUAUAGUACAUAGUGUAUGUGAUAUUGCGCUGGGAAGGAAGUUGACUCGAUCGCCCAGCAGGAGAGCACGUUGGUGGACUGCCGACCUCUGCGCUGCAAGGCGCGAAGUCCGAAGACUUCGUCGCCUGCUCCAAGAUGGAAGGCGUCGAGAUGACGAUGCCGCUGUAGAGCUUGUAGUGGACGAGCUGAGGCGUGCCUCAGCCAACUACAAGAAGCUCAUUGGGAGGGCGAAGAUGGAUGACUGGAAACGCUUCGUGGGAGAUCACGACGACCCAUGGGGGCGCGUCUACAAGAUUUGCCGAGGCCGCAGAAAGUGCACGGAGAUUGGGUGCCUCAGCGUGAAUGGCGAGCUGAUCACUGAUUGGGGUGACUGCGCACGAGUGCUCCUCCGCAAUUUCUUCCCAGUUGCGGAGUCCGAAGCACCGACUGCCAUCGCGGAGGAAGUCCCACCGGCCCUCGAAGUAUUCGAGGUUGAUGCAUGUGCUGCCCGGUUGAAGAGCAGGCGCUCUCCCGGGUUGGACGGCAUCAAUGGCACUAUCUGCAAGGCAGUCUGGCGCGCCAUACCUGAGCAUACCUUGCUACCAGUCUUUGGUAAGAUGCUCGAGGCCAUCAUGGUGAAUCGUGUGAGAGAAGUUCUUCCGGAAGGCUGCAGAAGGUAAUUAGGAUUUCGCCAAGGACGAUGUGUGGAGGAUGCUUGGAGGCACGUGAAGAGCAGUGUUGGCGCCAGCCCGGCGCAUUACGUGCUCGGCACAUUCAUGGACUUCAAAGGAGCAUUCGACAACGUCGAAUGGAGUGCUGCACUCUGCCGACUAGCCGACAGAGGCAUCCUGCUUGGAUGCCUUUCGGUAUGCCGAACAGUGUCCACAGUGGCACUGCAGGUACUUGGUGGAGCUCCCCCGCUUGAUCUGGCUGCUAAGUUAUUAGCGGUCAAAUACAAGCUAAAACGUGGAUUCCCGCUGGAGGAGAACGACUGGCUUUACGGCGCGGACAUUGCGUGUCUAAGCUGGGAGCAGAGGAAGACUCGCCUAGAGGAGUGUUUAAUCCAGAGUUGGCAGAACAGAUGGGACGACGACAGCGAACCAGGACGGGUGACGCAUAGGUUUAUCCCAUACGUCACUCUUGCCUAUCGGGAUUCAAGUUUUGGAUUCUCGAUGAGGACGUCUUUCCUGCUUACAGGGCACGGGUCCUUCAAUGCAUUUUUGCACGGGAGAGCCCUCAGCGAUACCACUGCUUGCGCAUGUGGAGAUCCAUAUGAGGACUGGAUGCACAUUUUGUGCGCUUGCCCCCUAUAUGCAGAUCUGCGGGACCUAGAUGGACUUGGAGUGCAGCGCCUUGGCGAAAACUGGAUCUUCGAGAGAAUCCUGGAGAUGAUCAAGAGAAGACUCAACGGCUAGCAAUGUUCGCGGAGGAAGUGUUCCUAAGGAGGAGGGGCGUCAGUAGAGAUUUUAGGUAGAUCUCGCUCCUCAGCAAGGGGGAGUGCUUGCCCGGCAAGCAAGUACUCGAAUUGCCACCGGGGUGGUCGCUAUGUACAUAGCUAUAGAUUCUAGUCCGGGACGCUUGUCUGGCGUAUCCAGACACAUGCACCAUAUGCUCACUUGUGGGUGUAUAGGGUGCCGUGGUUGUUAUCCCUUCAGUGUGGAACACGCCACGUAAAACAAGUUCGGAGGGAUCCGAAAAGCAUACAUUGUCCCUAUCUACUAUCUAGCGAAACCACAGCCAAGGGAACGGGCUUGGAAUAAUUAGCGGGGAAAGAAGACCCUUUUGAGCUUGACUCUAAUCUGGCAGUGUAAGGAGACAUAAGAGGUGAAGAAUAAGUGGGAGAUAUUAGACCUCGGUUUGCUAUCGUCAAUGAAAUACCACUACUCUUAUUGUUUCCUUACUUACUUGAUUAAAUGGAACGUGUAUCAUUUCCUAGCUAUUAUACGGAUAUAUUUAUUAUAUCUUAUGGUAUUGGGUUUUGAUGCAAGCUUCUUGAUCAAAGUAUCACGAGUUUGUUAUAUAAUCGCAAACAAAUUCUUUAAUAAAACGAUGCAUUUAUGUAUUUUUGAUUUGAAAAUUUGGUAUAACUCCAAUUACUCAGGUAUGAUCCAAUUCAAGGACAUUGCCAGGUAGGGAGUUUGACUGGGGCGGUAAGUCUCUCAAAUAAUAACGGAGGUGUCCCAAGGCCAGCUCAGUGCGGACAGAAACCACACAUAGAGCAAACGGGCAAAUGCUGACUUGAUCUCGGUGUUCAGUACACACAGGGACAGCAAAAGCUCGGCCUAUCGAUCCUUUUGGUUUAAAGAGUUUUUAACAAGAGGUGUCAGAAAAGUUACCAUAGGGAUAACUGGCUUGUGGCGGCCAAGCGUUCAUAGCGACGUCGCUUUUUGAUCCUUCGAUGUCGGCUCUUCCUAUCAUUGUGAAGCAAAAUUCACCAAGCGUUGGAAUGUUCACCCAUGCAAGGGAACGUGAGCUGGGUUUAGACCGUCGUGAGACAGGUUAGUUUUACCCUACUAAUGACAAAACGUUAUUGCGACAGCAUUCCUGCGUAGUACGAGAGGAACCGCAGGUACGGACCAAUGGCACAAUACUUGUUCGAGCGAACAGUGGUAUGACGCUACGUCCGUUGGAUUAUGCCUGAACGCCUCUAAGGUCGUAUCCGUGCUGGACUGCAAUGAUAAAUAAGGGGCAAUUUGCAUUGUAUGGCUUCUAAACCAUUUAAAGUUUAUAAUUUACUUUAUAAACGACAAUGGAUGUGAUGCCAAUGUAAUUUGUAACAUAGUAAAUUGGAAGGAUCUUCGAUCACCUGAUGCCGCGCUAGUUACAUAUAAAAGCAUUAUUU